AGAGUUUGAUCAUGGCUCAGGACGAACGUUGGCGGCGCGCUUAAUGCAUGCAAGUCGAACGAGAACCAGUGAGUUCGUAAGAACCCGCUGGGGACAGUGGCGAACGGGUGCGUAACACGUGAGAAACCUGCCCUGGAGACCGGGAUAGCGCGGGGAAACCCGCAUUAAUACCGGAUACCUUCAUCGGACCGCAUGGUCUGAUGAAGAAAGGUCCGCCGCUCCAGGAUGGUCUCGCGGCCUAUCAGCUUGUUGGUGAGGUAACGGCUCACCAAGGCAGCGACGGGUAGCUGGUCUGAGAGGACGAUCAGCCACACUGGGACUGAGACACGGCCCAGACUCCUACGGGAGGCAGCAGCAGGGAAUAUUGCACAAUGGGCGAAAGCCUGAUGCAGCGACGCCGCGUGCGGGAUGAAGGCCUUCGGGUUGUAAACCGCUUUCAGGAGGAAAGAAAAUGACGGUACCUCCAGAAGAAGGCCCGGCCAACUACGUGCCAGCAGCCGCGGUAAUACGUAGGGGCCAAACGUUGUCCGGAAUUAUUGGGCGUAAAGAGCUCGUAGGCGGCUUGACAAGUCGGACGUGAAAACCCGGGGCUCAACCCCGGGACGCCGUUCGAAACUGUCAUGGCUAGGGUCCGGUAGAGGUGAGUGGAAUUCUAGGUGUAGCGGUGAAAUGCGCAGAUAUCUAGAGGAACACCAGUAGCGAAGGCGGCUCACUGGGCCGGUACCGACGCUGAGGAGCGAAAGCAUGGGGAGCAAACAGGAUUAGAUACCCUGGUAGUCCAUGCCGUAAACGUUGAACACUAGGUGUGGCGGACUUAUCCACGUCUGCUGUGCCGCAGCUAACGCAUUAAGUGUUCCGCCUGGGGAGUACGGCCGCAAGGCUAAAACUCAAAGGAAUUGACGGGGCCCCGCACAAGCGGCGGAGCAUGCGGCUUAAUUCGAUGCAACCCGAAGAACCUUACCUGGACUUGACAUCAUGGGUCUACCUGUAGAGAUACGGGGUGCUUUUGCGCCCAUGACAGGUGGUGCAUGGCUGUCGUC
rnacentral:rRNA from 1 species